AUAAAGUUGUAUUUAUCUGUUAUAUAGGUAAAGAUAAUGAGCUUUUGGCAAUGUUUAGCUGCAGGUAUACAUCACAUAACUCGGUAAGAUGUAUGCCACAACUCGAGAACUUUGCAGGGGGUCUGCGCGUAGAUUCAUCAAAUUCCUUCUAACAUCACCAAUUUCUCGCAACAAGAGCCCCACUAGAGCAUGCCCGCAGUAUGACGGAGCGCUGGGAUGUGACUAGACUAGGGCGGUGUACAUCUUUAGGCAUGUAUCCCUGGCCGUCUAGUGGGGGAAGCCAACGAGCUGUUCUAUAUAUUGCAAGGUCCUGCGUGCUUAACAAGGCUACACCAAUCUCUUUGCCAAAUAUCUAUAUGCAUAUUGUCGGUGAGGUAGAGGGCUAACUGUAAUGCACACACCGGCGUAGUAACGAUGUACGUGUGUAUGUGUGUAUAAUGUACACAGGUAGGGCAUUGUCUCUGCAGAUUAGUACCUGAUGGUCACUGGGGGAAGUCGCCUGGAGAACAGGCUUACCACUACAGUACUAGGCUGGUUUGUUUAGUCUUUAGGAAGUAGUGAUCAUAAGGAUGGAUGUCACUUAAUGCACAGGAUAGAGGAUUGGGUUUCAAGGAAGCAGUUUAUGUUGCAGAACAUAACGGGAUAUAAAUAAUAGUGAUAUUAAAUACAGGACAAAUUACAGCUGAAGACAUCUAUUUCUCACUGAAAUUGUCUACCUUUGAUAUAUACCUUUGCCUGAUAUACAGUGUAGUAUUGAGGAUCUGUAAAUUGAACUACACUGAAACUCACUUGUGUCAAACGUGUGUCAAAUUUGCUCAAAAUGAGUCAGCUGAUGUAAAGUUUCACUUAAUCCCAAUAUUUGUCCUCAUUAUAACAGUAAAUUAAGAAUGGUGUCUCAAAAACUGUUAACUUAAAUACAACAAGUGUCCAGUACAUUUCUCAAUCAAAUACAAAACUUACAACAAAUGUUACACACUUCCACCUAAUUUCAGGUGAAUUUGUUUUGCUCUAGUCGAAUGGUUAGUUCCUGAAUCCAUUGCUGUAAAUUUCUGUGACAACUGAUUGACUAUUUUUGUUUAUACAUGCCACAAAAUUUAAUGUCAAGAUAAGGCUGAAAUUGUUUAUGACCUCAGAAUAACAUUUCACUGAUGUUUGUAAUUAAAGGACAAAGAAAACAAUAGCACUGAUACACCAGCAAAUGAUUGUUUACCAUAUGUUUAAAGUCAAUGAUCCAGGUAAGACUAUUGAUUUCGGAAUGAAUGUAUGCCAUUCAUUGGCAUUCACAAUUAUAGAAUUAAAUUUUGUUGAUAAUUUGGUAUUUAAUUCAAUAAAUUUCUCAAACUGA